rnacentral:rRNA from 2 species
GGAUGCGAUCAUACCAGCACUAAAGCACCGGAUCCCAUCAGAACUCCGAAGUUAAGCGUGCUUGGGCGAGAGUAGUACUAGGAUGGGUGACCUCCUGGGAAGUCCUCGUGUUGCAUCCCUCC